rnacentral:rRNA from 1 species
UUUGACCCCCCGGGGCUUAAGCAUAUCAAUAAGCGGAGGAAAAGAAACCAACGGGGAUUGCCCUAGUAACGGCGAGUGAAGCGGCAACAGCUCAAAUUUGAAAUCUGGMCCWCUGGGCCCGAGUUGUAAUUUGUAGAGGGCGCUUUGGUGUUGGCCCCGGCCUAAGUUCCUUGGAACAGGACGUCACAGAGGGUGAGAACCCCGUACGUGGCCGGCGGCCUUCGCUGUGUAAAGCCCCUUCGACGAGUCGAGUUGUUUGGGAAUGCAGCUCUAAAUGGGAGGUAAAUUUCUUCUAAAGCUAAAUACUGGCCAGAGACCGAUAGCGCACAAGUAGAGUGAUCGAAAGAUGAAAAGCACUUUGGAAAGAGAGUCAAAAAGCACGUGAAAUUGUUGAAAGGGAAGCGCUUGCAGCCAGACUUGCCUGUAGUUGCUCACCUGGGCUCUUGCCCAGCGCACUCUUCUGCGGGCAGGCCAGCAUCAGUUCAAGCGGUCGGACAAAAGCCCUAGGAAUGUGGCUCCUUCCGGGGAGUGUUAUAGCCUAGGGCAUAAUGCGGCCAGCUUGGACUGAGGUCCGCGCAUUUGCUAGGAUGCUGGCGUAAUGGUUGUAAGCGGCCCGUCUUGAAACACGGACCAAGGAGUCUAACAUCUAUGCGAGUGUUUGGGUGUCAAGCCCGAGCGCGAAAUGAAAGUGAACGGAGGUGGGAACCCCCCGGGGCGCACCAUCGACCGAUCCUGAUGUCUUCGGAUGGAUUUGAGUAAGAGCAUAGCUGUUGGGACCCGAAAGAUGGUGAACUAUGCCUGAAUAGGGUGAAGCCAGAGGAAACUCUGGUGGAGGCUCGCAGCGGUUCUGACGUGCAAAUCGUUCGUCMMMUUUGGGCMUAGGGGCGAAAGACUAAUCGAACCAUSYUAUUCUUACKACCUCGAUCAUUAGAAGCGGGGGCCGGCGGAUAAACAAU